rfam:Otolemur garnettii contig163558, whole genome shotgun sequence.
AAGACUAUACUUUCAGGGGUUAUUUCUAUAGUUGGUUACUAGAUAAGCCUCGCUGAAUGUGUAGAGCACCGGAAACCACGAGGAGGCAGCGCAGCGUUCUCUCCUGACGUGAAGCCGGCUCUUGGUGUUGCUUUAGUGCAACUGCCAUUUGCCACUGAUGAUUAUUCUUCCCUCCCUUUGGGGGAUUAAGAGGGAGAGAACACAGAAGGGA